rnacentral:rRNA from 1 species
GAUGAACGCUAGCGGCAGGCCUAAUACAUGCAAGUCGAACGGUGUCUUCGGACAUAGUGGCGCACGGGUGCGUAACACGUAUGCAACCUACCUUACAUUGGGGGAUAGCCUUUCGAAAGGGAGAUUAAUACCGCAUAAGACAGUAGCUGGGCAUCCAGCAGCUGUUAAAGAUUUAUCGAUGUAAGAUGGGCAUGCGUCCAAUUAGUUAGUUGGCGAGGUAAAGGCCCACCAAGACUUUGAUUGGUAGGGGAACUGAGAGGUCAAUCCCCCACACUGGCACUGAGAGACGGGCCAGACUCCUACGGGAGGCAGCAGUAGGGAAUAUUGGGCAAUGGACGCAAGUCUGACCCAGCCAUGCCGCGUGCAGGAUGAAGGCGUUAUGCGUUGUAAACUGCUUUUAUACAGGAAGAAACGACUCUUGCGAGAGGCAUUGACGGUACUGUAUGAAUAAGCACCGGCUAACUCCGUGCCAGCAGCCGCAGUAA